rnacentral:lncRNA from 1 species
UUUUUAUAUUUUAGUUAUUGGACAAAGUUAAGAAAUAUUUCUUAGUUAUAUAUAUUUUGCUGUGGUUUAAAUAAAAAAUUAUAAUACUAACAACCCAUACUAAAAAAUGGUAUGACCCAUCUUACCAAAAGAAAACCGAUUGAGGAUUGACCGAGUUACUUUUGACCCUAAACCUCCUUGUUCAAGCUUACCGAGUACUCUCAAAUUCAAAAUUUGUAUCUCUUUUAAACUAAUCAACCGAUAUUUUGGGGAUGACUACUCGAUCAUCAACCGAUUUAUACCCAUUCAGGCUCUUUCUUUACCCUCAUUUUCAUCAGUCAUCCAUCGUACCUCUGUUUCCGUUAGAGCUAGCAACCGCCACACCUCGUCUACCACAAUAAAUUCCGUCAUUCGAAUCCUCCAAUCUGCAACCAGGUACCACGUUGAUGAUCACUUAUAAUCAUUUUAUUAGCCAUACUAAGUUCUGUUAAUCACCAAUCCUGCUUAGCCUUACUUUUGUUGAUAUCUAAUUGAGUAAUUGUGUUUCAACGACUUUGACAACCGCCACACAACCACUCCAAGUUCUCGCCGCCACAAUCAAACCUUCAACUCACGAUUCAGCAACCGCACCACUACCGCUCACCAUAGUUCGGUUCCGACUUCCGUGUGACCAUCCGAACCGCUAAUUGUGUCUCCGGUUGGCUCUGUUCUAUUAUUAAGGAUGGUGAACAGGCAAACGACGACAUUAGUCAUCGUGAAAAGGCUAGGUUAAAGGAAAUGCAAAGGUUGAAAAGAUAAAAGAUACAAGAUAUACUGGUUCAACAAAAUGCUUGUAUUGAGGCUGAUAUAGUGAUAUGAAUAACAAGGGAAAAGGAAAAUUGAAGUUGAAGGGAAGGGGUCGUCAUGCAUCGAAAAUGACUGAAGAAGAAUGAGGUGUAUCUUAAGGAGGAAGAAGAUGGCUUGUCUGGAACAGGACAUACACGUUUGUUAGUGCAGCCAUCUUGUAAGUUCCUAUCUUUUUUAUGUGUUUUUUUUUGUUACAGUGCUUCACUUGGAGGUCGUUAUAUACUAGGUUAUAGACUCAUGUAUUACAUGAGUUCUUCGGAAAAAUUGUGCUUUCCAUUUAUAUAAACUUGAAUGAUUUUUUAAAAAUAAAUAUU